rnacentral:lncRNA from 1 species
UUAACUUAAUUUGUUUAAAAAGCUCGGAUUCCGUACUCAUAGGAUUAGCGGGAGAGACAAUAACGCCGAGGGAGAGGAGUGCAACGUAGAGAACCGGAAUGUUAGUUGAGUUUGGAGACAGAAUAAAUGCGACAUCAGUCCCAAUUUAAGCCAUUAUUUUCUUUUUCGUACAUGGAUAAACUAAACGGUUGAGGGUUAAAACUUGUACUAUUCAAAAUAGGUCAUAUUUAUACCCCAUUUGAAGUUUGGAGACAGAAUAAAUGCGACAUCGUUUUUGGAGAAGCGGAAUGUGUGUUGAAGUGAGGAAGCUAGGGAAAUGACACGUGUUGGGAACUCGGAGAAGGAGAUGCAACGGCCGGUGACGGAGUCGAUGAAGGCGGCGGCGGUGGAAUCGGGGCAUUGUUGGAGAGAGAGUGCGUAAGAAGCAGCGGAAAGAGGAGAAGCUUCUGGAGGAAGCAAGAGAGGUGGGCGGAGACUGUGGAAAGUUUUGGUUUUUGAACAGAAUCCGCUGUUUGCGUCCAUGCGAGGAAGUAGUUGCGGCAGCUCAGCUGGGGAUUUACUUCGGAGAUUCCAACUAAAUUAAUGGUGGUUAUACAUUUGGGUGUCCACUAUUUCAAUUGGCUGCUGUGCUAGCCAUAAGUUUAUUUCCGCUUUCUUCUAUAUAUGGAUUUGGA